AAUAAGUGCAGUUUUGCACUAUUCACGUUUAACGUUUGACCGUUUGUCUUAUUUAAAUUUUUUUUAUUAGUAUUUUUGUUGCUAUUAGAUGAUAAAAUAUUAAUAAUACUUUAUGUGCGACUAAAUAUUUUUAAAUUUUUUAUAAAUUUUUUAAAUAAGACGAACGGUCAAACGUUAGGUACAAAUAUUCACGACUGUACUUAUU
rfam:Oryza barthii chromosome 1, whole genome shotgun sequence.